rnacentral:misc_RNA from 1 species
AACGCAAAUUGCACUCUCUGGUAUUCCGGGGAGUAUGCCUGUUUGAGGGUCGUUAGAAAAAAAAUCGAAGCGUCGCUCUUUGUGAUUGCGUCGGAAUUGAGCCGUCUUUUUCAUGUUAAUUCAUAUAAAAGUGGCUUAAAAUUCAUCAAUCUGGUACGAUUUAAAGCGUAUUUAAGAUCAGUCUUGAUUAAGAACGCGCGAUGACGUACCAUCUCAUGUAGUACGUUCGACCUGCAUGUCAGGCUCAUUCGUAUACGACAUUUAACUUUUGACCUCAAAUCAGGUAAGAAUACCCGCUGAACUUAA